UACGAAGGGGGCUAGCGUUGCUCGGAAUCACUGGGCGUAAAGCGCACGUAGGCGGACCUUUAAGUCAGAGGUGAAAUCCCAAGGCUCAACCUUGGAACUGCCUUUGAUACUGGGGAUCUCGAGUCCGGGAGAGGUGAGCGGAACUGCGAGUGUAGAGGUGAAAUUCGUAGAUAUUCGCAAGAACACCAGUGGCGAAGGCGGCUCACUGGCCCGGUACUGACGCUGAGGUGCGAAAGCGUGGGGAGCAAACAGG
rnacentral:rRNA from 1 species